AAUAAUGAGCUUAUAUUUAAACCAGAAACGUUUUGUUUUUGACAAGAGACGAGUAGCUUCGUUCAAAAGAAGUACGGGGUAUCAUUAAAAGGCCGGUUCAAAAUCGUCAUUCAUUAGAUGUUCAUCAUGCGUUUCGAGAUCUUAGGGAAACAGCUAGUCACUUGACUUUGAAAAAGUCUACCCAUAAGAAUGUCAAAACUAUAGUCAACACCAACAGGGAGACCUAGAUGAUCAACAUCUAAAUGCAGAUAAAGCUGCCAUUACAAUAUAGUCAGAGGAACUCUACAAAACACCACAGUAAAGAAGUAAACUGCUGAAUGACAACAUCUUUCAAAAAAUUGAAACUAAAAGAAAAAAGUGUAU